rnacentral:rRNA from 1 species
UUAUUGGAGAGUUUGAUCCUGGCUCAGGACGAACGCUGGCGGCGUGCUUAACACAUGCAAGUCGAACGGAGAUUAUUAAUGAAGCUUGCGAUUUAAUAAUCUUAGUGGCGGACGGGUGAGUAACGCGUG